UCUUUGCUUAUAUUCGGUCCUUCUUAUGGCU
rnacentral:piRNA from 1 species